UACGGGGGGGGCAAGCGUUGUUCGGAAUUACUGGGCGUAAAGGGCUCGUAGGCGGCCAACUAAGUCGGAUGUGAAAUCCCCAGGCUUAACCUGGGAACUGCAUCCGAUACUGGAUGGCUUGAAUCCGGGAGAGGGAUGCAGAAUUCCAGGUGUAGCGGUGAAAUGCGUAGAUAUCUGGAGGAAUACCGGUGGCGAAGGCGGCAUCCUGGACCGGCAUUGACGCUGAGUGAGCGAAAGCCAGGGGGAGCAAACGGG
rnacentral:rRNA from 1 species